UAAGCAUAUCAAUAAGCGGUGGAAAAGAAACCAACAGGGAUUCCCUUAGUAACGGCGAGCGAACAGGGAAGAGCCCAGUAUGAAAAUCUCCAGCCUUUGGCUGGCGAAUUGUAGUCUGGAGGAGCGCUCCCUGGGUGGGUGCUGGCCGAAGUAUACUGGAAGGUAUCGCUAUAGAGGGUGAGAGCCCCGUAGGCCAGUUAACCCGUCCUUCACGGGACGCUUUCAAAGAGUCGCGUUGUUUGGGAAUACAGCGCUAAUUGGGUGGUAAACCCCAUCUAAGGCUAAAUACCAAUGGGAGACCGAUAGCGAAAAAGUACCUCGAGGGAACGAUGAAAAGACCGCUGGCAAGCGAGUAAAAGAGUGCAUGAAAUUGUGUAGCGGGAAGGGAUGGCCUGGUAGCAUGCGCCCGGGUUGAUGUGGUUCGCAAGAGCUGCUGUCUGCACUGGGUGCUGGCUGGUACCGGCGCCCUUGGCCGUACAAUACUCUGCUGAGGUGCAGAGCACUGCGGGCGAGGGUGCCGAGGCUGAUCAGUUGCUUUGCCCCUUCGGGGAGCUGCUCUGACAGGGUACCAGCUGAAACCUGUCCAUCUGCCCUG
rnacentral:rRNA from 1 species